CCCUUAGAUGUUCUGGGCCGCACGCGCGCUACACUGACGAAGUCAGCGAGCAUGUCCUACGCCGACAGGUGCGGGGAAUCUUGUCAAACUUCGUCGUGAUGGGGAUUGAUUAUUGAAAUUCUUGAUCAUCAACGAGGAAUUCCUAGUAAGCGCAAGUCAGCAGCUUGCGUUGAUUACGUCCCUGCCCUUUGUACACACCGCCCGUCGCUACUACCGAUUGAAUGAUUUAGUGAGUACCAGGGACCGAGCGCUUUGGUUGGGUUUCCUUCCCUAGCGCUUGGGAACUGUCGCAAACUUGACCAUUUAGAGGAAGUAAAAGUCGUAACA
rnacentral:rRNA from 1 species